rnacentral:rRNA from 1 species
UUCAUCGGAAUAACCAGUGGAAACGCUGGCUAAUGCCGAAUACGACCACCGAAGGCAUCUUCUGGUGGUGGAAAGCUCCGGCGGAAUGGGAUGGACUCGCGGCCUAUCAGCUUGUUGGUGAGGUAAUGGCUCACCAAGGCGACGACGGGUAGCCGGCCUGAGAGGGUGACCGGCCACACUGGGACUGAGACACGGCCCAGACUCCUACGGGAGGCAGCAGUGGGGAAUAUUGGACAAUGGGCGAAAGCCUGAUCCAGCAACGCCGCGUGAGGGAUGACGGCCUUCGGGUUGUAAACCUCUUUCAGCAGGGACGAAGCGAAAGUGACGGUACCUGCAGAAGAAGGACCGGCCAACUACGUGCCAGCAGCCGCGGUAAUACGUAGGGUCCGAGCGUUGUCCGGAAUUAUUGGGCGUAAAGGGCUCGUAGGCGGUUUGUCACGUCGGAAGUGAAAACUCAGGGCUCAACCCUGAGCGUGCUUACGAUACGGGCAAACUAGAGGUAUGCAGGGGAGAACGGAAUUCCUGGUGUAGCGGUGGAAUGCGCAGAUAUCAGGAGGAACACCGGUGGCGAAGGCGGUUCUCUGGGCAUUACCUGACGCUGAGGAGCGAAAGCAUGGGGAGCGAACAGGAUUAGAUACCCUGGUAGUCCAUGCCGUAAACGUUGGGCGCUAGGUGUGGGGACCUUCCACGGUCUCCGUGCCGCAGCUAACGCAUUAAGCGCCCCGCCUGGGGAGUACGGCCG